rnacentral:rRNA from 1 species
GUGGGGAAUAUUGGACAAUGGGCGAAAGCCUGAUCCAGCAAUGCCGCGUGAGUGAUGAAGGCCUUAGGGUUGUAAAGCUCUUUUACCCGGGAUGAUAAUGACAGUACCGGGAGAAUAAGCCCCGGCUAACUCCGUGCCAGCAGCCGCGGUAAUACGGAGGGGGCUAGCGUUGUUCGGAAUUACUGGGCGUAAAGCGCACGUAGGCGGCCUUGUAAGUCAGGGGUGAAAUCCCGGGGCUCAACCCCGGAACUGCCCUUGAGACUGCAAAGCUUGAAUCCAGGAGAGGUGAGUGGAAUUCCGAGUGUAGAGGUGAAAUUCGUAGAUAUUCGGAAGAACACCAGUGGCGAAGGCGGCUCACUGGACUGGUAUUGACGCUGAGGUGCGAAAGCGUGGGGAGCAAACAGG